rfam:Haemonchus placei strain MHpl1 genome assembly, scaffold: HPLM_scaffold0000578
GGCACAAAUUUGAAGUGGAAUAGAUUAGUAUGGCUAGCUGAUCCUACUAAUCUACUCUACUUCAAAAUUGGGCCC